GACGAACGCUGGCGGCGUGCUUAACACAUGCAAGUCGAACGGAAAGGCCCUGCUUGCAGGGUCCUCGAGUGGCGAACGGGUGAGUAACACGUGGGUGAUCUGCCCUGCACUUCGGGAUAAGCCUGGGAAACUGGGUCUAAUACCGGAUAGGAGCCAUUUUUAGUGUGAUGGUUGGAAAGUUUUUUCGGUGUAGGAUGAGCUCGCGGCCUAUCAGCUUGUUGGUGGGGUAAUGGCCUACCAAGGCGGCGGCGGGUAGCCGGCCUGAGAGGGUGGACGGCCACAUUGGGACUGGGAUACGGCCCAGACUCCGACGGGAGGCAGCAGUGGGGAAGAUUGCACAAGGGGCGCAAGCCUGAUGCAGCGACGCCGCGGGGGGGAGGACGGCCUUGGGGUUGGAAACUCCUUUCGCUAGGGACGAAGCUUUUUGUGACGGUACCUAGAGAAGAAGCACCGGCUAACUACGUG
rnacentral:rRNA from 1 species